GCCUGGUUGGCUUAGUUGGUAGUGCGUCUGCCUUGUAAGCGCUAGGCCGCGGGUUCGAUUCCCGCGCCGGGGCG
rfam:Asian citrus Psyllid, Diaphorina citri - Florida Strain, whole genome shotgun sequence.